AUUUGAAAUGUUGUAAAAGUGAUGCAGAGAAGGCAUUUUUAUUACUCAACAGUUUAAUAAGGUAUUUUAUUGAACAGGUAAAUUGCCAUAUGUAGAUCUCUAAUAGAGUUCAUUGUAAAGCAUUAUUGUGAAGGGUCAUUUCAUUAUGGUUGUAGCGAUGUGCUUGAAUUCAUUUUUUAAGGAAGUACCAUGUCUAUUAAUGGGUGUAGCUAAAGUAACAUCUUUAGCUAGUCAGCAUGAGAGCCUUUCCAACUAAACUGGUUAUAUCUCUUAAGCCUAGUAGUUCAUAUUUUAUGAGCAGUAGGAUAACCAUAUUAAUCUGCACAGUCACGCAGUGCCAAAGCACAGCCAAAACAAUGUUCUCCCGCAAAAUGCAUGCAUUCGGCUAGAAGGCCAAAAGUUACAUAUUGUACCUUUAAAGCCUGUAAAUAAUCAGAAACACUUUGUAGUUUCGCCUUAGGUAAGAUAAAGGCCAAAGACUGGUAAAAACAUGCCAGGACUAGUCAGCGCGGAAAGCUUUGGGGCCUGAGGACAGGAAGUGUGCUGACAGAGAAAGAACAAUCCUAUCAUAAGGCUCCUGACACUUACACUUAUAUCUGUGAACAAGAUCAUCCCCACCACAGUCACAGCUCACAAACAAUAUUAAAUAAAGUAAAAAAACAAAACAACAAAAAAAACAACAACUUUAUAUUCAAAAAUAAAUUAUUUCCAAUCCGAAUCACAAAUACAUGUUUUGGAAAAUCAAUUUUCUCUAGUUAAGAAUUACUAGAAUUACUACAGAUGUGAAUGUGCAGAGGCACACAGCUUAAUAUCAAUAACAGAGUUUGAAAACUGGCACAUAGUGAAUCUCUGCAGCAGACAGACCACUAUUAAAUCAGAAGGCAAAGGUGCCAUAAAGUUGUGCAGCUAAAUUGCAUAAUUUAUAGUCUCACUGAGCAUUCUUUCAGAGAAAAGCUCCUCAUUAAUUUCCUUUGAAUGGAUGAAAGACCAGAGAGAUGGGGGUACAGGUAAAGCAACUGUAGCCACCAUAUAGAAUGACCACACCUUAUAGCAAAUCACUGAGGCAUGGCGUGUGGUUUCUGGAAAGGCAUUCCCACAGUCUUCAAUCAUAUGAUGCUUGAAAGGGAAGUCACCGUGGAGACAGAAAUCCGAGGAAGAACAGAGCGAGCUGUGUCACUCGUUUCCCUAAAGAUAAUGCUGCUUUGACAGGUCCUUUGAAUAUCUUUGUUUUUUCAGCUAAGUCCAUUUCAUAGAAUAAAAGGCUAACAGCAAGACGCCAAACAUCCCCUUUCAGACAGGUUUUGGAAAGUCAGGUGAGAUCAACAACAGUGGGGAUCAGCCGAGAUCCUUAAGUCUGUGGUCUUGAUCGAUGCACAAUGAAGAAAAAGAAUGUGAAUGUGUGUGUGUGUGUAUGUGUGUGUGUGGGGGGGAGGGGUAUCACGCAGUCCGUGAGGGACAUUAACGGCGGGUCCUUGUGGUAAUUACAGUAUGUCGGGCAGGAAAUCCAAACGUUCGCCUAUCAUCCAUCAACCUCAAAUAUGGCUUAUCAUUUGAAACACGAAAAAGAAAGCAAGUCCAACUCCCAUCGAUCCAUAUGUCUAGACAAGUACUAGACUACAAGCUGCGCUGAGACUGACUGCUUCCAGAGAGUCCCAUUUCUCUUCUCAACUUCAACACCUGUGUGGACCCUGCUAUAGCUAAUGCUAGCAUCUCAUUCCAACACAAUGUAGUUUUACAAACAUAAUAUUUCCUCACACGAAAGACACAAACUUUACUAAAAGUAAGUAAAUAUGUCUGAGAGAUGUUGUGUUAAUGGUGGCUCAGAAUUACUGCUGUAAACACUCUUUGUUUGGACUUACAAGCCCUGAACAGAUCCUGGGAAACUUGCGCAGAGGCUGCUGUGGGUUCACAAGACGGCUAGAUUCAUUCUAGUCUGUAAUUACAACAUUGAGCUGAAAAUAAGGCUUUGUUUAAGCAGAUGCACACGCUCCAGCACAUUCCACGACCAAAUGUAGCCUAGCUCUCCAGAGAGGGCUUCACGUCACUGAGACAUAUGGUCGGGAGGUCCCGUUCUGGACAACACACCAGAAGGCCCAUGUUCAGUUCAACAAUCACAGAUCAGCUCUGCUGGAAAUUAGACAGAAAUGAACUCUGUGUAGUGUUCUGCAUUAUAUUGUUACCAUAACAAACCAAAUAUGCUUUUGAAUGAUAGUGUAUCUGUAUUUGUAUCAUGGUCCAGUCAUGUGGCUAUGAAGACUCAAUUACUAUUACUAUAUAUACUUUUCUAUUGGUCAUGAGAAUUGUUGAAAUGAAACAAACACCUAGUGACAUAUGGGGUCAAAUGGUUAAAAUUGCCAAAUACUGCCCAAUUACUCUGGUUGAGGCUUCUGGGAUCUGGGAAUAUCUGAUCUAUUCUAUUCAAAACAUCAAAGAAAAUUGGAAAUGUAUAAAAUAAAUGCCUAUGUCUUCAA